ACUGCUAGCACCAUAGCAGACACCUCUACCUCAAAUAGCACCAUAGCAGUCACCACGUCCUUGAGUAUCACAAUAGAUUCCUCUACUUCUAGCAGCAAAGCAGUUGGCAUUGCUUUGGGUGUGCUUUUGUUUUUGAUCAUCCCAAUAGCCAUCAUGUUUAUCUACAAAAAAAGAAAAAUUCCCAAAUUCUGGAAAAAAGCCCACACAAACACCACAGCUCCUGAAAACAGAAUCCAGUUUACUUCCAUAAAAACCAAAGUGUAAGUAUAUUUAAAAACAACACUAUAUUUUUCAUUGGAUCUUUUGUUUGAAUAGACUGUACUAAACAAAUUGCCUUUUUCCUGUUGAGCAGUAGUUUGCCUGUACAAAUUGAAAAUU
rnacentral:lncRNA from 1 species